rnacentral:rRNA from 1 species
UACGAAGGGGGCUAGCGUUGUUCGGAAUUACUGGGCGUAAAGCGUGCGCAGGCGGCUGCUCAAGUCAGGGGUGAAAGCCCAGAGCUCAACUCUGGAAUUGCCUUUGAGACUGAGUGGCUUGAGUACGGGAGAGGUGAGUGGAAUUCCCAGUGUAGAGGUGAAAUUCGUAGAUAUUGGGAAGAACACCAGUGGCGAAGGCGACUUACUGGACACGUAUUGACGCUGAGGUGCGAAAGCGUGGGGAGCAAACAGG